rnacentral:rRNA from 1 species
UGGGGAAUAUUGCACAAUGGGCGAAAGCCUGAUGCAGCAACGCCGCGUGAGGGACGACGGCCUUCGGGUUGUAAACCUCUUUUAGCAAGGAAGAAGCGAAAGUGACGGUACUUGCAGAAAAAGCGCCGGCUAACUACGUGCCAGCAGCCGCGGUAAUACGUAGGGCGCAAGCGUUAUCCGGAAUUAUUGGGCGUAAAGAGCUCGUAGGCGGUUUGUCGCGUCUGCUGUGAAAACCCGAGGCUCAACCUCGGGCCUGCAGUGGGUACGGGCAGACUGAGUGCGGUAGGGGAGAUUGGAACUCCUGGUGUAGCGGUGGAAUGCGCAGAUAUCAGGAAGAACACCGAUGGCGAAGGCAGAUCUCUGGGCCGUAACUGACGCUGAGGAGCGAAAGGGUGGGGAGCAAACAGGCUUAGAUACCCUGGUAGUCCACCCCGUAAACGUUGGGAACUAGUUGUGGGGUCCAUUCCACGGAUUCCGUGACGCAGCUAACGCAUUAAGUUCCCCGCCUGGGGAGUACGGCCGCAAGGCUAAAACU